rnacentral:rRNA from 1 species
UUUACAUUUGAGUGAGUGGCGAACUGGUGAGUAACACGUGGGAAACCUGCCCAGAAGCGGGGGAUAACACCUGGAAACAGAUGCUAAUACCGCAUAACAACUUGGACCGCAUGGUCCGAGUUUGAAAGAUGGCUUGGCUAUCACUUUUGGAUGGUCCCGCGGCGUAUUAGCUAGAUGGUGGGUAACGGCUCACCAUGGCAAUGAUACGUAGCCGACCUGAGAGGGUAAUCGGCCACAUUGGGACUGAGACACGGCCCAAACUCCUACGGGAGGCAGCAGUAGGGAAUCUUCCACAAUGGACGAAAGUCUGAUGGAGCAACGCCGCGUGAGUGAAGAAGGGUUUCGGCUCGUAAAACUCUGUUGUUAAAGAAGAACAUAUCUGAGAGUAACUGUUCAGGUAUUGACGGUAUUUAACCAGAAAGCCACGGCUAACUACGUGCCAGCAGCCGCGGUAAUACGUAGGUGGCAAGCGUUGUCCGGAUUUAUUGGGCGUAAAGCGAGCGCAGGCGGUUUUUUAAGUCUGAUGUGAAAGCCUUCGGCUCAACCGAAGAAGUGCAUCGGAAACUGGGAAACUUGAGUGCAGAAGAGGACAGUGGAACUCCNUGUGUAGCGGUGAAAUGCGUAGAUAUAUGGAAGAACACCAGUGGCNAAGGCGGCUGUCUGGUCUGUAACUGACGCUGAGGCUCAAAGUAUGG